GAACACGCUAAUCACGUUAGCAAAAACGUCUCAAAUAAAUUCAAAUCUCCCUCCCCUAAAUUCAAGCCUCUACCGUCGUGCCGGAAUCCGUUGUCAGCGACGGCGGAGCCUAAACUACUAAAUCCAGAUACUAAACUUCUCAUCUACAUGCCCUGAAUUUGAAACCUUACUCAGAUUCUCCAGAGUCAUCAUCAAUUAAUCAAAUCGAAGUGACUUAUUCGUGAACCCUAGAUAGUAGGACUUAAAUUAAACUCUCCCUACCUGGAAUUGAAGCCCUAGGGUUAGGACUUUGAUUCCAAUCACCUCCAGCUAUAUUCGGUAACCAGUUCAAUGUGAAACAAUGAAGAAAUUAACCUACCUGUCGGAGACGACGAAGAGAGAGAGACGAUCCCAGUUAAUGGUUCGUGGUAUGGAAUUCAUGGAAAUCCUUUGAAAGUGGUUUUGGAUUGGCUGCUAUGAGUUUGUGUGGUAUGCUUGGUGUAGCGGUAAAUUCAUGACCAUCAAGCUAUGGAUAAGCUUAAUGUCAAUAAAAUCAGAGUCGCCACUCGCUUUUAUUGUUUCCAAAGAAAAAGGGAAAAGUAUGAACAAAACCCAAACAUAAGAAGUUUUUAAAUCAAAACUAAUAAAAUGCUAGAGAUUACAUGUAAGGGGGUUGGUUACACAGAGGGAAGGUGUUAGCACCCAAAGUGUCAUAGGUACUCCUAGGGAGCCCUUUUUUAUGUGUGUAUGUGUUUUUGGUAUAAAAGAUGUUUGAUAAAAAUAAAGUGUGGGGAUAAGAAAAGAAUUCUUGAUUA